UACAGAGGUCUCAAGCGUUGUUCGGAUUCAUUGGGCGUAAAGGGUGCGUAGGUGGCGCCGUAAGUCAGGUGUGAAAUCUCGGGGCUCAACCCCGAAACUGCACUUGAUACUGCGGUGCUCGAGUACUGGAGAGGAGAUUGGAAUUUACGGUGUAGCAGUGAAAUGCGUAGAUAUCGUAAGGAAGACCAGUGGCGAAGGCGGCCCCCUGGACCGGAACUGACGCUGAGGCGCGAAAGCGUGGGUAGCAAACGGG
rnacentral:rRNA from 1 species